rnacentral:misc_RNA from 1 species
CAGGGACAAGUUUCUCAGAUGCCAGCAGAGCUUCAGCAUCAAUUCUAACAGGCGCUUCACUUCCAUCAAGCACAACAUCCUCUUUAUUGACGUCAAUACCAUGAAACACAAUCUCAAAGUCUACAAUAGUGGUUUCAUGACUUCCUAUGCCACUUGACCAAAACUGAGCAACAGCUAAUUCCAUUGUCUGACCACCCACCACAGGAAAUGCAAAGCUUUUGGCACAGGGGGAAGAAAAUGUUACAACGCUCUCCCACUUGAUAGGUCUUUGAAGGGGGCAAAUCUGAACUGUGUCAACAAAAAAUCGUCGGGCUGUAUCAAAUCGUGAUGUUCGCAUGGUUGCC